UACGUAGGGGGCAAGCGUUGUCCGGAAUCAUUGGGCGUAAAGAGCGUGUAGGCGGCCCGAUAAGUCCGCUGUGAAAGUCCAGGGCUCAACCCUGGAAUGCCGGUGGAUACUGUCGGGCUCGAGUCCGGAAGAGGUGAGUGGAAUUCCUGGUGUAGCGGUGAAAUGCGCAGAUAUCAGAAGGAACACCAAUGGCGAAGGCAGCUCGCUGGGACGGUACUGACGCUGAGACGCGAAAGCGUGGGGAGCAAACAGG
rnacentral:rRNA from 1 species